AUUGCGUGAGUGGAAUACUCCACGUAAGCAAUACACAACUCCACUGAACGCGUGACACCUGGCAAGCGGGCCCACAUAUCAGAUUUAUUAAAAAAUCUGACCCUUUCCCUUCUCUCUCCCAUCCUCCGUUAAACCUCCGUUACCCUCGCCUUACUGCUCAAAUAUUCACUUUUUCACUUGGUUUCUCUCUCCCUCCCUCCUUCCGCUCAAACUUCUCCUGCUCCCGACCUCCUCUUCCUUCCUCCGCGACUUCACCUCCUUUGAUCGUGAACCCGCCGCGCCUACGCCGGUUGCCUCCGCCGGCCCCUUCCAGAAAACCCAUUUUCUCUCUCUCUCUCUUUCAUUCGCGAAGCACGGCUCUUUUUGUGGACCGCGCCUCCGCCUUCGCCGGUUGCCUGCGCCGUCGCCUCCCGGAGCCCAUCGGUGGCUCAGAUCCCGACCACGCGGCCGCCUCCGCCUACGCCGUCGCCUCCGAAGCCCCCCAUUGGCCAUUCGUCCUCUGCCCUUCUCUCUCUGUCCCAAGAAACGGCUCCGCUCGGCUCUCUGUGACGAACCGCGCCUCCGCUGUCACCUCCCGAAGCCCCUUUGGCGAUCUCGGGCUCCGACUCGCCCUCUUCGUUGCCUCCCGGAGCCCCAUUCUCAGGUUAGGGUUUUGUAUGACUUGAACUUAUUCCCUUUUUUGCCCUAACGUGAAGAUCGGUGGCUCAAAUCCCGACCACGCGGCCGCCUCCGCCUAUGCCGUCACCUCCGAAGCCCCCCAUUGGCGAUUCGUCCUCCUCCCCUCUCUCUGUGUCCCAAGAAAUGUCUUCGCUCGGCUCUCUGUGACGAACCGCGCCAUCAACAGUUUGGUUUCGUGAUCGAUGAGCGGCUGAGGAUCAAUAAGAACAAGCACAAGGAUCUCCUGCAUGCAUUGAAAUGUUGCUUGAAGUCUUAUGAUGUGAUUCACUAUGCACAAUAUGUUUUGAGGUGGGAAGAAAUGCCUGCUGUUGAACGUGCUCAUUUGUCGCGGGAGAAACAG